AUGCUGUCAGCGCGGCAGCACAGCCCGGAUGUGAGGUCAACUGCUCACCGGUCACAGCAAUGCACGGGUGGUUUGCCGCCAAUAAUCCAGAUUGAGAUAGAUACCAAAUACUUGCAAGGCAGCAGGCAGGUGAAACAUGCCAGUGACGCCGCACGAGGAGUGAUGAGAAACCAGAUAAACAGGUUCCGCGUUGGAGCCUGGAGAGGUGAAGCCAACCGUCCUUCGACUAGCAAAGGUACAGCUCACCGGCCUCAUGAUCUGGGUCUAAACGCCUGUGCAGACGAGCUUGCCCCCGAUAACGGAGGCACGAUUGCCUUGUAA
rnacentral:rRNA from 1 species